UACAGAGGUCUCAAGCGUUGUUCGGAUUCAUUGGGCGUAAAGGGUGUGUAGGUGGCGCCGUAAGUCGGGUGUGAAAUUUCGGAGCUUAACUCCGAAACUGCAUUCGAUACUGCGGUGCUUGAGGACUGGAGAGGAGACUGGAAUUCAUGGUGUAGCAGUGAAAUGCGUAGAGAUCAUGAGGAAGACCAGUGGCGAAAGGCGGGGUCUCUGGACAGUUCCUGACACUGAGACACGAAGGCCAGGGGAGCAAAACGGG
rnacentral:rRNA from 1 species